rnacentral:misc_RNA from 1 species
AAAGUCGUAACAAGGUCUCCGUUGGUGAACCAGCGGAGGGAUCAUUAUUAGAAGCGCCGAAAGGCUGCUUAUAACCAUUGCGAACCAAUCCAUCAGCGUUGCUUCGGCGGGAGACGGGCCCCACGGCCCCGGUCUCCGGACCGCCCGCCGGAGGUAAGAAACUCUACUGUAUCUAUGUGACAUCUCUGAGUAAUCAAACAAAUAAGUUAAAACUUUCAACGACGGAUCUCUUGGUUCUG